rfam:Salmo salar isolate Sally breed double haploid chromosome ssa01, whole genome shotgun sequence.
CACACUGUGUUUUGUAAGUCGCUCUGGAUAAGAGCGUCUGCUAAAUGACUUAAA